rnacentral:rRNA from 1 species
CCUACGGGAGGCAGCAGUGAGGAAUCUUCGUCAAUGGGCGAGAGCCUGAACCAGCCAAGUCGCGUGAAGGAUGACGGCCCUACGGGUUGUAAACUUCUUUUGUCAGGGAGCAAUUGAGUCCACGUGUGGUCUUAGCGAGAGUACCUGAAGAAAAAGCAUCGGCUAACUCCGUGCCAGCAGCCGCGGUAAUACGGAGGAUGCGAGCGUUAUCCGGAUUUAUUGGGUUUAAGGGGUGCGUAGGCGGAAUAUCAAGUCAGCGGUAAAAAUUCGGGGCUCAACCCCGUCGUGCAGUUGAAACUGAUGUUCUUGAGUGGGCGAGAGGUGUGCGGAAUGCGUGGUGUAGCGGUGAAAUGCAUAGAUAUCACGCAGAACUCCGAUUGCGAAGGUAGCAUACCGGCGCCCAACUGACGCUGAAGCACGAAAGCGUGGGUAGCGAACAGGAUUAGAUACCCGAGUAGUC